AAUAAGUAUGUUUUGUUUAUCAAGAUGAAUAAUCUUCUUUUUGUUCAUAACUCUUCUCUGUUCAUCUUUGCCUAGAGAGCUUCUCAGCUCAUAGUUUAACAUGGUAUCAUAUCAUUCGUUCAUGGUGCUAUAGCUUAAAUUAGUUAUCUCUUAGUUGUGUAGUUGUAUCGUUGAAGGUUCCAGCAAUGACGAUCGCAAAAAUUUAUCGGAAUGAUCCUUUGUACAUUAUACUUUCCCUUUAAAUAGUCAUCGGUACAUUUGGUGUUCCAUGUGUCCUUAUUGAAGAAGUGUACUGGAGAUCUGACUUCUAUUGCACCAUAAGAGAAUCUUUGUAUAAAGGGAAGUCUUUGUAUCAAGAAGUGUCGUUUGAGAUUUUGGACUGGCAAGUGUGGAAGUUGAGAAACAAAGAAUUUGCGUCUGUAGAAGUGUUGUGGAGGAAUCAAACGUUAAGGGUGAUACUAAGGAGAGCGCAACCGAUGUUAUAUCCCGAUCCUCAUCUCUUUUCCUCCAAUCCAACUCUAGGUUGAGAUGCUCUUGUGAGAUUGAAGGUUGAAAUGAAAGGUGAUUGAUGAUGCUUUACCAUUUCGGAUCGGCGUUCCACCGAUUAAGCAAAGUAUGAAGAGGAAGCUGAAUGGGAAAAUGUGAGAUUAUGCAUAACACGAGAAAUACUUUGUUUAUCAACCAAUUAAGGUCAUUUGCAAUAAGAACUAGAUUUCAAAGUCAUUUCUAAUUGUAUGAUAUGUUAAUUAAAGGCGAAAUGAUUUAAUGGACCCUAUACUUAUAUGUGUUUGUAUUGUGAA